AUUGUUUCAGGUUGUGGGAACUAUGAACAUAGAUGCAGAGUCCCUCUUGCUCGCUACUUUAGCGAAAAGUCUUGUCGGGCUGGGUUACCAGGUCGAGGUUUUAGCAUUCUCUUAUGGGAAAGCUCAUGACAUUUGGAGAACUAUUUGUCGUGUAAAUAUCGUGAGAAUUGACAAGUUGAAGUCUGUCGAUUGGUUAAAAUACAAUGCUGUGCUUGUAAGCAAAUGAUAGGACCUUUUAAGUAUCAUCAUUAUCUAGCUGCUGAGUUCUGAUUAAUUAUUGAGUUGCACUUAAUAGUUGUGUGAAAGUUUGUACAUGAUUUCAUGUUAGCACAUGAUAAAAGUUGCAGUGCAGUCUUAUGCAGGAACCUUUUCAAUUUCUACCAGUGGUUUGGCUUAUUCAUGAUGAUGCUCUUGGACAACACCUUAGAAAUUAUCCAGAGUUGCAUCUGUCCAUUCCAAAUCAUAUUGAAGAUUGGCGAGCUCAUUUUAAUGCAUGCACUUAUGUUGUGUUUCCAGAUAACCACCUCCCUUUGUUAUACUCUCCCCUUGAUACUGGGAAUUUCUUGGUCAUUUCUGGUUCCCCGGUUGAUAUCUGGGCUGCUAAAGGAUAUGGCACAUCACAUUCUCAAGAAACUUUAAGGAAGCAGCACGGGAUCAGAGAAGAAGAUGUUGUUGUUUUGGUUGUUGGGAGCUACCUGUUUUUUGAUGAAUUACCAUGGGAUUAUGCAGCAGUCUUGCGUGCAUCAGCCCCCCACAUAUCAUGGAAAUAGCAAGGACUAAAAAAUUGCGAGUGCAGUUUAUCUUUUUCUGUGUAAAUGGCAGUGACGCCUAUAAUACUGCUUUCCAGGUAUUAAUUAUAUUCACGUUUUAUCGUGUCUUGGGAGGAUUGCCCUGUAUUUUAGAAAAUAGCAAUAUCAUUUUAGAGGCUUGGACUGCAAAGUUCUAUUAAAUUGUGUGACCGAAGGUGCUAGAUGACUGGUGCAUGGCAUUUUGUAUGUGAUAUGCAUUUUAUUUGCACAAUACAAUGGCUAUUGUGAAGUGAAUGCAUCACAUGGUGGGAGACUACUGGCUGUCCCUUGUUUCUUCAUAUAAAGGGCGCUAGCCUACCCGGCCAAGCAGGCCAUCCAAAGGGGCAAACGCUCGUUGGUCGUCCGAUCGGUGCCACACAGUAAAUUGCUCCUCCCGCUUUUCACUAGAACCGUCCGAUGCGGUAAAAACUUUUCUCACUCGUUUGGCUGUGAAAGAGGCCUGCAAUUUCUAAGGUUCAUGUUUCCUCUAUUGAGGAAUAAUGCAAUUGUACUCUGUGUCAUAAGCUUAUAUAAUUUAAUAUGGGUAGUCAAUUGUUUCAUGACAGUUUAUGAUCCUGUAGUUUUUAUAUUUCUGCUCCACUGAUUUCAUAUGUAACACUGUAAGAUUUAACCCUACGCGAUCAAUGGUGACACUUUUAGGGGAACCGACUGUCAGUUCAGAAUCAACGACAGUUACAACAUUCAGUUGGUGGCCUAUAUUCUGCACCAACAGUAGUUGAGUGCUUUGACAAUAUUUGUGUUAACCCAGAAGAGUUUGCAGCACGAUUUGAGAAGCUGGAAUGUACUGAAGAAGAUUACGAAGAAGAGCUUGAGUGUAUUGAGAAUGUCUUUUCUCCAUGGGUUGAGAAGUGCAAGCAGUUUUGUUACAUCUUGUUUCUUUGAUUUGUAUUGAGUAACGGUCCCUGAAAGCAUUAAUAUGGAGGACGUUUGCACAUGGUGGCACUUCAAACUGUAUGCAUGUCAGUUUUUCCCUUCUCAUCUUCCAUGCAAGGUGCUCAAAUUGGCACAUUUAACCUUCUGAUGAGCUCGCCUUGCCGCAGGUUCAAUUCGCUCCUUCACUAUUAUUAUCAAGUACAGUAUACUGGAGCAUAUCAACUUCUUAAAUUUAUGUUGCAGCCUAGAAUAUAUCAACAUCAAAAAUAUAUCAGCCAGUUUCUGUACGGGAGAGAUAGGUGGUUCUGGAGGUUGAGCAGGGAGGAGGGAGCUAGAGAAGUGGUGCAGCGACGGAGUUGGAGGAUCAGGGAGGGGCUAUGUUGGCCCGGCUCUGUCCCUCACGAAGAUGAGCACAUCUCCCUCCUCACCCCUUCUGAGCUGAGCUUCUUCUUCCAACUCAUGGCAGGGCUUGGUGGUCUCACAGGGGCAAGGUUUUCCCACCACAUGCUUGGUUCAGACAUCUCGUCAUCCUUGUUGUCUGCGCUCCUCAACUGAAUGUCGGCGUGGACGCCGGCGCAUUCCCGAGGGUGCAUUUGAGCAGCGAUGGUGAUCAUGCCGAUUCAUGCUGGUGAUCUAAUACUAGGUGUUGACAAUGAGGAUUUCACUUUGACAAGCAAGGUGGUGUAGAGUUGGCUGAGCUGUCAAUGGUGACGGGUUUUUAUGAUUAGGAUUUUGGUGCUUGGCUAUUUCUCUGGAGUGACUAAGGAUUGGAGUCUACCUUAGGAUCAGUUUAUCCUAUGGGCCUAUACUACAGUGUUUAUCUGGCGACGGGGAGCUGCUGCUGCCGGAGCAAAAGACGCGUCUUUCCCGAGCUGAAGCCGCCAGCCACCGCUCCUGCUUGCUGCUGCUGCCGAGAAAAAUCGCAGACUUCUUCAGUUAAACAAGAUACUAGUACUAUAUAAUGGAAAAGUUAUAUGGCGCAAGCCUAAAUCUUCACAACACCUCCUUGUAGAUACUACUACUCCAUUAUUUUCGGUGACAUGGGAAGAUAAAUAACUGAUGCAGAAAUUAUAGAACCCUAUGUGAAGAAAAUUAUGGAUGAGAAUCGUGGAUAGAAGUAUGGGUGUGGAGCCAUGGGGUGUUCAAAAGUUUUGCAUGCUCCUGAGUUUGUUAAAAAUCAUCUAAAACUCAAGCACCUUGACUUGGUCUCUGUGUUGACUUCUGGAUUUUGUUGGUGAUAUCACCUGAUCAUGUAUGCUGCUCAGUUGUGCGGUUGUGCCCCUUUGUCUUUGAAUUCAGCUUUGUUGAUUAUUAUUGCUUUUCUUUUUUCAGAAUAUUGAUAUAGUGAUAUUAUUUCCACAUUGGUAAGCUGAAACAUGCCAUUUAUGUUUCUGCCUACCAUAGUUUGUGAAUCAGUCAUUUUGUGGAAUUGAACCUGCUCCAUUCAAUUACGAAACCAUCUACUUAGUACA